UCGGUAUGUACUGGCUUUACUGAUUCCUCCUUCUUGACGAACCGUGAUGUCAUUAAUUUGGUGUUGCGGGAAAUCAGGACUGUUACUUUGAAAAAAUUAGAGUGUUUAAAGCAGGCUAACGCUUGAAUACAUUAGCAUGGAAUAAUGAAAUAGGACGUUAAUCCUAUUUUGUUGGUUUCUAGGAUCGACGUAAUGAUUAAUAGGGAUAGUUGGGGGCAUUAGUAUUCAAUUGUCAGAGGCGAAAUUCUUGGAUUUAUUGAAGACUAACUACGGCGAAAGCAUUUGCCAAGGAUGUUUUCAUUAAUCAAGAACGAAAGUUAGGGGAUCGAAUACGAUCAGAUACCGUCGUAGUCUUAACCAUAAACUAUGCCGACUAGGGAUCGGAUGAUGUUAAUUCUUUAAUGACUCA
rnacentral:rRNA from 1 species